CGACCCCAGGUCGGGCGGG
rnacentral:misc_RNA from 1 species